rnacentral:misc_RNA from 1 species
GAUGAAGAACGUAGCGAAAUGCGAUAAGUAAUGUGAAUUGCAGAAUUCAGUGAAUCAUCGAAUCUUUGAACGCACAUUGCGCCCCCUGGUAUUCCGGGGGGCAUGCCUGUCCGAGCGUCAUUACAACCCUCAAGCUCAGCUUGGUGUUGGGCCCCGCCGCCCCGGCGGGCCCUAAAGUCAGUGGCGGUGCCGUCCGGCUCCGAGCGUAGUAAUUCUUCUCGCUCUGGAGGUCCGGUCGUGUGCUCGCCAGCAACCCCCAAUUUUUUUCAGGUUGACAUCGGAUCAGGUAGGGAUACCCGCUGAACUUAAGCAUAUCAAUAAGCGGAGGA